CAUGUGAAAAAAUGCAAGGUGAGGAUGCAAUGAAAACCUUCAUUAUUUUACUCACCGUCAGCAUCUAAAACCCUAAAUUUUUUUGGCUGCUGCGACAACCAUGGACGGAACUCUGACAAUGGAAGAUGGAUUUCCAGCGACAAGGCUUUUCAACCAGGGAUACUCAUACACAUAUGAUGAUGUUAUCUUCCUUCCACACUACAUCGAUUUUCCAACAGACGCCGUCUCUCUCUCCACCAAGCUGAGCCGUAGAGUCGCCCUUGCCACUCCCUGCGUCGCCUCCCCUAUGGACACCGUGACUGAGUCAUCCAUGGCUGCUGCCAUGGCCUCCCUUGGUGCAAUCGGCAUUGUCCAUUCCAACUCCACGCCUUCUCACCAGGCCUCAUUAGUUCGUUUAGCGAAAUCACAUCAAAUUCCCUUCAGGCAUGAUCUCAUCUUCAAAUCGCCCUCUGAUUUGAUUCUAUCCGCUGAUGAGUUUUCCUCUUCUCCUUGCAUUUUUGUAACCGAAUCCGGAAAUCAGAAAUCGAAACUGUUGGGGAUAGUUAAAAUAUCCGAUUGGGAAAAGUUAACUGACAAGGAAGCUAGGAUUUCCGAGUAUAUGACAAAGUCAUCGGUUUCAUUGCCUGCUAAUUAUAAAUUUGAGGAUAUUGCAGGCUAUUUAGCAAAAAAUGAGCUUGAAUUUGUACCAUUAGUGAGUGAUAAAAAUGAUGAAGGAGAAGAAAUAGUGAAUCUAGUAACAAGUGAUGACUGCGAGAGGAUAAAAGGUUUUCCGAAGUUGGGGCUACCAUCACUGGACUUGGAUGGUGAGUUUUUGGUGGGGGCAUCUAUUGGGACAAGGGAAUCCGACAAGGAAAGGCUGGAGCAUUUGGUAAAGGCAGGGGUGAAUGUAGUGGUCCUGGAUAGUUCUCAAGGAAAUUCAAGUUAUCAGAUUGACAUGAUAAAGUAUGCUAAGAAUCUGUACCCGGAUUUGGAUUUGAUCGGUGGGAAUGUGGUGACAACGUACCAGGCGCAAAACUUAAUUCAAGCUGGUGUUGAUGGGUUGAGAGUUGGAAUGGGAUCAGGAUCCAUUUGUACCACUCAGGAAGUAUGCGCUGUUGGGCGUGGACAGGCAACGGCUGUUUACAAGGUUGCAUCAGUUGCUUCACAGAGUGGUGUGCCUGUUAUUGCUGAUGGUGGCAUUUCAAAUUCUGGUCACAUUGUCAAGGCUUUGGUCUUAGGGGCGUCAACUGUGAUGAUGGGAAGCUUCUUAGCUGGAAGCAGUGAAGCUCCUGGCACUUACAUAAAUCAGGGUGGUCGUCGAGUCAAAAAAUAUCGAGGUAUGGGAUCCCUAGAAGCAAUGAUGAAAGGGAGUGAUGCUAGGUACUUGGGUGAUAUGGCUAAGUUGAAGAUUGCUCAAGGGGUUGUUGGGGCAGUUGCUGAUAAAGGUUCUAUAUUGAAGUUCAUUCCUUACACGAUGCAAGCAGUGAAGCAGGGUUUCCAGGAUCUUGGUGCUUCCUCCUUGGAGUCUGGUCACGACCUUUUGAGAUCAGGCGUGCUAAGACUUGAGGUAAGAACUGGAGCAGCACAGGUUGAAGGUGGAAUUCACGGACUGGUUUCUUAUGAAAAGAAAUCAUUUUAAAAUUUUCACCAAGCUUCCAAAUAUUGAUGGAAGAGCUGCUGAUUAUGGAUGGUUCUGGAGUUCUCUAUUGGUUUAUCAAUAAGAUAUAUAAUGUGCACCAAACAAAUUAAACUUGGCCAAGUUUGAACUGCUGGAGGUUUUCAUAGUUUCAUGCACAAAAUAGGAUAUUUGUUGGUUUUCAGUUUGACUCCUAAACGAGGAUUGCCCAUCUAUGCUUUCAACUCUUAUGUUUCUUAUAUUAUGGACCACCCUUAGAAUGGAAGAACGUUGUUGUGUUAUUACUCUCCUGUAAGCUUUUGGUUUCAUAACAGCUAUAUUUUUCAUUCUCAUUCUUAUAAGAAUGGGAAUCAUCAAACGGGGUGAAAUGAAGUGUUGGCUGGACAAUUGGCCCUAGGGCAAACGACAUUUCUCCUAUAUUCAUCCAGUGUGGGUGCACACUUGCCUCUGGUCCAUUCAGUUUCUUGCGACAUAGAAUGAAGCGAAUUCAGCCACUGCAAAUGCUUGCAGAUAAAGCCUAAAUGGACACUGCUUUGGCAUUCAAUGGUAGCAUGCCAAAAUUUAUUACUGAAAGCUGAUGAAUUAAACUCAAAAAAUUUAUAAUAAAUAUUUGUGUUAACGGC